CCUUGACCUACUAAAUAGCUCUACUUGCGAUUGCAGGUAGCUAGCUUCUUAGAGGGACUAUCUAUUACAAGUAGAUGGAAGUUCGAGGCAAUAACAGGUCUGUGAUGCCCUUAGACGUUCUGGGCCGCACGCGCGCUACACUGACGGAGCCAGCGAGUCGACCAAGCCCGAGAGGGCUAGGUAAUCUUGUGAAACUCCGUCGUGCUGGGGAUAGAGCAUUGCAAUUAUUGCUCUUCAACGAGGAAUUCCUAGUAAGCGCAAGUCAUCAGCUUGCGUUGAUUACGUCCCCUGCCC
rnacentral:rRNA from 1 species